rnacentral:snoRNA from 1 species
GGCUAUGAUGAAAAUGGUUUUCUUCUUUCCUUGUCUGACUCGACCAUGACGAUAGGGAGCUAAUUGGAAUUUAUUCCUCACUCCAUGGUUUUCAAAGUUUAGAUUGUUUUAUCAGUUUAGAUGGAUUGGACCUUUCUUGCCAUUGUUACAACAACAAUAGUCUCUGAGCU